AAAGAACACGAACAAAAACUCCAUCUCCCAAAGCCAUAUGAACAAAAAACACGCACACUCUGAAAACUCCAUCUCCCAAAACUAUCUCGCUUCGCCGCUCCACCGCUCCGCCGCUGCUGCCACCUCCAUCGCUUACAGUUGAGGUACCAAAGCUUCUGGAGGCUUCCUCUAUUCAUCUGCGUACGAUUAUCUGGCUUCUGGAGGCUAAUACGGGGAGGAAUAUUCUUGAAACAGAUCAUCCAG